rnacentral:rRNA from 1 species
GACGUAGGGCGCGAGCGUUGUCCGGAUUUAUUGGGCGUAAAGAGCUCGUAGGCGGCUUGUCGCGUCGUCUGUGAAAUCCCGCGGCUCAACCGCGGGUCUGCAGUCGAUACGGGCAGGCUAGAGUUCGGUAGGGGAGACUGGAAUUCCUGGUGUAGCGGUGAAAUGCGCAGAUAUCAGGAGGAACACCGGUGGCGAAGGCGGGUCUCUGGGCCGAUGACUGACGCUGAGGAGCGAAAGCGUGGGGAGCGAACAGG